CGGCACAUGGGAAUGGGCCGUCCCUCGGCAA
rnacentral:sRNA from 1 species